rnacentral:rRNA from 1 species
AGCGGAGGACAUGUGGUUUAUUCGAUGCAACGCGAAGAACCUUACCUACUCUUGACAUCCAGAGAACUUUCCAGAGAUGGUUUGGUGCCUUCGGGAACUCUGAGACAGGUGCUGCAUGGCUGUCGUCAGCUCGUGUUGUGAAAUGUUGGGUUAAGUCCCGCAACGAGCGCAACCCUUAUCCUUUGUUGCCAGCGGUCCGGCCGGGAACUCAAAGGAGACUGCCAGUGAUAAACUGGAGGAAGGUGGGGAUGACGUCAAGUCAUCAUGGCCCUUACGAGUAGGGCUACACACGUGCUACAAUGGCGCAUACAAAGAGAAGCGACCUCGCGAGAGCAAGCGGACCUCAUAAAGUGCGUCGUAGUCCGGAUUGGAGUCUGCAACUCGACUCCAUGAAGUCGGAAUCGCUAGUAAUCGUGGAUCAGAAUGCCACGGUGAAUACGUUCCCGGGCCUUGUACACACCGCCCGU